rnacentral:rRNA from 1 species
GGCCCAGACUCCUACGGGAGGCAGCAGUGGGGAAUAUUGGACAAUGGGGGGAACCCUGAUCCAGCCAUGCCGCGUGUGUGAAGAAGGCCUUAUGGUUGUAAAGCACUUUAAGCGAGGAGGAGGCUACUUUAGUUAAUACCUAGAGAUAGUGGACGUUACUCGCAGAAUAAGCACCGGCUAACUCUGUGCCAGCAGCCGCGGUAAUACAGAGGGUGCGAGCGUUAAUCGGAUUUACUGGGCGUAAAGCGUGCGUAGGCGGCUUAUUAAGUCGGAUGUGAAAUCCCCGAGCUUAACUUGGGAAUUGCAUUCGAUACUGGUGAGCUAGAGUAUGGGAGAGGAUGGUAGAAUUCCAGGUGUAGCGGUGAAAUGCGUAGAGAUCUGGAGGAAUACCGAUGGCGAAGGCAGCCAUCUGGCCUAAUACUGACGCUGAGGUACGAAAGCAUGGGGAGCAAACAGGAUUAGAUACCCUGGUAGUCCAUGCCGUAAACGAUGUCUACUAGCCGUUGGGGCCUUUGAGGCUUUAGUGGCGCAGCUAACGCGAUAAGUAGACCGCCUGGGGAGUACGGUCGCAAGACUAAAACUCAAAUGAAUUGACGGGGGCCCGCACAAGCGGUGGAGCAUGUGGUUUAAUUCGAUGCAACGCGAAGAACCUUACCUGGCCUUGACAUACUAGAAACUUUCCAGAGAUGGAUUGGUGCCUUCGGGAAUCUAGAUACAGGUGCUGCAUGGCUGUCGUCAGCUCGUGUCGUGAGAUGUUGGGUUAAGUCCCGCAACGAGCGCAACCCUUUUCCUUACUUGCCAGCAUUUCGGAUGGGAACUUUAAGGAUACUGCCAGUGACAAACUGGAGGAAGGCGGGGACGACGUCAAGUCAUCAUGGCCCUUACGGCCAGGGCUACACACGUGCUACAAUGGUCGGUACAAAGGGUUGCUACACAGCGAUGUGAUGCUAAUCUCAAAAAGCCGAUCGUAGUCCGGAUUGGAGUCUGCAACUCGACUCCAUGAAGUCGGAAUCGC